CCUACGGGGGGCUGCAGUGGGGAAUAUUGCGCAAUGGGCGAAAGCCUGACGCAGCGACGCCGCGUGAGGGAUGAAGGUCUUCGGAUCGUAAACCUCUGUCAGCAGGGAAGAAAGGUCACUGUGCUAAUCAGCAGUGAAUUGACGGUACCUGCAAAGGAAGCACCGGCUAACUCCGUGCCAGCAGCCGCGGUAAUACGGAGGGUGCGAGCGUUAAUCGGAAUUGCUGGGCGUAAAGGGCUCGUAGGCGGGAUGUCAAGUCAAGGGUGAAAUCCCCGCGCUCAACGUGGGAACUGCAUUUGAAACUGGCAGACUGGAGUGUGGGAGAGGAUAGUGGAAUUCCAGGUGUAGGAGUGAAAUGCGUAGAUAUCUGGAGGAACAUCAGUGGCGAAGGCGACUAUCUGGAACAUGACUGACGCUGAGGAGCGAAAGCGUGGGUAGCAAACAGGAUUAGAUACCCGAGUAGUC
rnacentral:rRNA from 1 species